rnacentral:rRNA from 1 species
UGAGCAAUCUGCCCUUCUCAUCGGAAUAAGCGUUGGAAACGACGUCUAAUGCCGAAUAUGACCUCCUUUCACAUGAUCGGAGGUGGAAAGCUCCGGCGGAGAAGGAUGAGCUCGCGGCCUAUCAGCUUGUUGGUGGGUAAUGGCCUACCAAGGCGACGACGGGU